UUACGCCCGAAAGUGCUAGCAACCAGCUACUUCUGCUUCUGUAAAAGUGCUUGCUCAACGCGCGGGCUAACUAGCUACUUCCGCUUCUGUUCGAAUGCUUGCUUAAUGCACGCGCGGGCUCCCAACACCGAUCAACCAACACCAGGUAUGAUUUUUUAAAUAUUAACCAAUCAGCAUAACUUGUUUGUACCCCACCCCAAAACUUGUUUGUACCUGCUUAUAAAAACCCUGCACUUACUCUGCUCAGGACCUCUUUGCGUCACCGGGAACGAGUGAGCGGAGGUCUGGGUUCGAACUCCUAAUAAACGACCCUUGCCGCCUGGCUUUGACUCACGUCUCUGGUGGUCUUUUAAGGUGGGUGUAUAACGCAUCCGGUAUUUUAUUACCGCAGCUUCGUCGGACCCGAAAAUGCAGUAUGACUCCAGUCACAUUUCUCUGGGGUUGACAACAGGCUAAAACAGAAACCCCGUGUGUUGCUGCCGCUCUGUGUCUUUAUUAACAAACAUGCCAGGACGCUUUGCUGGACUCACACAGUUGAAAUGGCACGAAACAGCCCCCCGUCGCACAGGGUGGCUCCCGGCUUCCCCCGGUCCAUUUUCCUACCUCCUGAGUGUCCAAGCGUUGCUUUGCGCGUGCACCGAAGUCCCCGGCUCACACGUGAGGACGCCUGCAAAUCCACCUCUUGGCCCCACUUGGCAUCGCUUCGCAUUUCCAGCGAAGAUGCUGUGGUCGGAGGUGUAUGACAUUUUUUAAUUGGCUGCUGCUGGGCCUGCGAAGACAGCUGCUUUUUUAUGCUGGGAAUCUGCCUGGUCGUGCUGCCGAAUCGUCCGCUGGUUCUCGUCAUGUCGGCUGAUUCCACUGGAUUUUGUAGGGAGAGGAUUCUACCGACGACAGAUUAGGACCGAUCGGUCUUGUCCUUCCCGAUCCGUGUGCCUCGUUAUUUCCGUUUCUUCUUCUCUGUUCUAUCUGCUGGGACCUUCCGAGCGGGAACGAAUUCUGCUCUGCUCUCCGGACGGGCGUCUCCGGACGUGCACGUGAAGACGGUGGCACAGGACAGUUCCCCGCAGCGGCGGCAGCAAGAACAAGAUGCUGGAGAAGCCGGACGCCCGACGGUGUGGGGCCGGUUCACACACCCGGGCUCAGCCGAGUCCCGGAGCGCUACGCAGCCGUGAGAAGGUUGGGGUCGCUCCGAAUGAGCGGGCUUAGGAGACGGCAGACAUGCAGCAUUUGGAAAGGAAGGACGCGGCUUGGCCGGCGCGGCGCAGUCCAGAGAUACACAGACACGGGUGAUUCCGGGCACACACGGGGUUUGGAAGGAAAGGCAGGCCACCCUUCUCCGUAUCUGAGGAGGAGGCCUGGGGGCCUGGGGUGGGAGGGACAGGGACUCAGGCCCACAAUUUUUUCACUAUUUUAAGUUUUAUAUUCUGAAAGGGUUCCUUCUUCAGUAAAAAAGUUAGUGCACAUUUCUGAAGGAGUUUUUAACAAAUAGAUACACACAGGCUGGUCAGAAACGGAUGCCUCUCCGUCCAGGUCAGGACUUCUCAGCCAAGGCUGCGCGCUAGAACCUCGUGGACCUCCUGUUCGGGGGGCAGAGCCCGGAGCAUCACUCUGGCUGACGUCUCGUUGGCACCGAAUCCCAUUUCCAGGGGCCGAUGUCCACUCCAUGAGAGCGCAACGUCGGGGGUUCGCUCAACAAAUUCACCCUCACAACUGAACUUGAGCAGUUUUACCGAAAACGGAACUGCUGUUGCCCAGGACAGCCCGGGCACCUUGCCCUCCACCCUUGGAGAUGUCGGGGGAGUUUGUCUCUGGUCACCGGCCAUUAAGGUGUGGCCUUGGAUGCUGUGGAUCCAGGUGCGAAUCCCCCCACCGCUCUGGAGCCAUGGGACUCGGCCAGGUUUCCUGACCUCUCUGGGCAGAGCCGUGCCAACUUCGGGGGACGUGAAGGGGAUGGACGGAGAAAAGGUGACGUGAAAAGUCCACAGACUCGUACUUGCAGGACCGUCAGGCUAACCUGUCCCCAGGUUCAGGGGUCUUCACGGUCCACCUGUUCAGGCAGGCAUCCUUCCUCCCCGGGUCUUUCGUGGCCACCCUCUGCUCUCUGGUGUUUAUUCCAGGCUUAACGUCCAGGAAGGGUUUUGGACUUCCUUUUGUAGGAGUCAGAGGUUACACGACUCGGCAAAGUCAACGGCAGAAAACAAAGCACAAGGGUCGGCAUGCUGCUUCCUGUCCCCUGAAUCCCACCGCCUCCUCCUGGGUUUCAGACACUCUCAGGAAGAGACCAGAUACAACCCGAAACAACCCAGGCACGUCCCACUUUAAGGAAGGAAAAAAUAGGAAGGCUAUGGACCAACGUGCUGAACCUUCAGAUUAUAAAUUCUUUUUCUUUUCUUCCUUACCUUGAUUGCCUGGAAUCUGUACAAUCCUAUAUGCUUCCUUUGCAAAGGUGAAAACACCGCCUAUGUAUUUGUGGUACCAAUUU